UGUACUCAGGUCAGGCUAGGGAA
rnacentral:piRNA from 1 species